rnacentral:rRNA from 1 species
UACGUAGGGGGCUAGCGUUGUCCGGAAUCAUUGGGCGUAAAGCGCGUGUAGGCGGUCCGGUAAGUCCGCUGUGAAAGUCGGGGGCUCAACCCUCGGAUGCCGGUGGAUACUGUCGGGCUUGAGUACGGAAGGGGCGAGUGGAAUUCCUGGUGUAGCGGUGAAAUGCGCAGAUAUCAGGAGGAACACCAAUUGCGAAGGCAGCUCGCUGGGACGUUACUGACGCUGAGACGCGAAAGCGUGGGGAGCAAACAGG